UAACAGCAAUGAAACAAAUUAUAUAUAUUCCAUGUAUCAGUCAAGAUACAAAUAAAAUGAUGUUUGAAAAUAAGUAUUUAAAGUGAUUUGUCAUAACUGUAUGCUUAGUAUGCUUUUGUCCUUUAACAUCUCUGCAAGAUAUGAAUAUCAUUAACUUAUGCAUAAAUGUAAGCUUGGAUUGACCACUGAAAAAUCAUCAUGCAAACACUAAAUUUUUUUCCCUCCAGCUUGCUGUUAUCCUUUUCCAUGGAUUCCCCUGUGUGGCUCUGUUUCUCUUCUGGAGCUUUUCAGCAGAUUUCAAGUAAAGAUGCUCAUCCUACUCUUGGCCUGCCUCGCAGAGACUCUAUGAGAAAAUUUCCUCACGGAUACAGACUGCUGUGAAAUGAUCAGAAACAGAUGUAUUUUCAUUUCGUGAGCCCAGGUACUUCAAUUUAAGGCUCAGGACUGUUUGAAUCUCAGAAUAUAAUGUCGGUAUAUAGAAAGCAAUUAUCUGUUUCCCUCAUCAAUGACACUUCCUCAGGAUCCUUCUAGUAUGCCAGUAAAAAUAGAAAUGAAGUACCUAGCAAUUGAAAAUGUUUUUUUUUCUCAAGAAAAAUAAUGUAUUUUGAAAGUGUCAUCUUCAAAGAAGCUUAUCAGUUCACAAAAAGUUUUUCUUAGGAACCUGCACAAAACUAAGGGAAAUGCUGUGUUACAACUACAUUUCUCUUUAGGUAUGUCAUCUACUACCAAGGUGAUAAAAAUGGGAGAGGAAAUAGAACAGCAUCAUUGUAUCAAAUAGAAAUAGAAGAAAUAGAACAGAAUCAUUGUAUCAGUUAAACUGACAUACGUAUUUCUUUUCAAUGAGGGAAUCUGAAAAUAGUCACAUUAAAUAUCCAUUCAAAUGCAAACAUUUAUGGAGCUCUCCUUCAGUGUCAAAGAUCUGAAUGAUUAAAACAUGGGUCUUGUCCUCUCUCAGUUAACAAUCAAAAUAAUUUCAGCAAAUUAUUACAUGUCCCUGGAUUCUGGACUGAUGGCCUCAAAGAAGAGGUAGCUUUUAAGAAAUUAAUUAGGUUCCUGUUUUUAAUGCUAUUCUCAGUAAAAAUCAUGAUGAGGAGAGAAAGACUGCAAACAGCACAAUUUUUUGUGAACCCUAAAAUAGAUCUCUGGCUAUAGAGACUGCGAUAAACUAAGCAGACCUCAGUUUAUAUACCAGGCUUAUAAUCAAACUUCCAACAAUUUUGUUAAUGUGGCACAGGAUCCUGUUUUAUGGGCAUUCAUUUCCAUUCAAAGUAUAAAUGUCACACAUAGGCAUAGUGGAUCAAUAUAAUUCUGAAAAAUCUUUCUUCAAAAGCAAUUAAGCAGUAAGGUCAACAGAUACAUGGGAUCAAAUAUACAGAUAGGAAAAGUGCAUUUAUCUAGAUGAAGCACAAAAUCCUAUUUCUCAAGGAAAGAUAUCACCAUUUUUUGUUUCAUCAUGAAAGAUUUCUAAAGUGGAUAUUAUUUCAACUAGGCAUUUAAAUGAAUAACAGGAGUAAAUGAGUACUUUAGGUAAAGUAUUCAUGGUAUGAUCGAUCAUUUAUUUUGGAUUCUCCUCCGUCCUCCUUGAGAUGAUGGUAGGGAAAUAAAGUAUUAUAAACUCACAAACAUAAAGAGAAAAGGAGACAGAUGAUGGCAUUUUUUGAAAUGGGAAACUCAGAAAACAGGAAGCUGGAAUCUACAGACAGACAAGCCCAGUAGAAGCAAGAAGACUCAUUCUGCAUUAACUGCGGUGAGGUUCUCGAAUUAGAGGCUUUAGAGAUCUCAGAAGUUAGGGGUAAAGGAUAGGUUUGAGAAGAGAAAGACUGAAAGGUAUGGUGAACAUAUAUUUCACGACUGUAUUAGGAUGCUCUUGAAGUAAAAGAUACAUUACUAACUAUUUAACCAUGAUAAGUCACAUACAUUAGGACUGUCCUGGGCACUCACAUCAAUUCUAUGUAGAAGUACCUAUUCAAACCUUGCUCUUAUUUUUUUAAAUUGAAUUAUACCCCUUUUCUUUUCUCUUCUCUUCUCCUCUCCUCUCCU